rnacentral:rRNA from 1 species
UACGUAGGGUGCAAGCGUUAAUCGGAAUUACUGGGCGUAAAGCGUGCGCAGGCGGUUGUGUAAGACAGAUGUGAAAUCCCCGGGCUCAACCUGGGAACUGCAUUUGUGACUGCAUGGCUGGAGUGCGGCAGAGGGGGAUGGAAUUCCGCGUGUAGCAGUGAAAUGCGUAGAUAUGCGGAGGAACACCGAUGGCGAAGGCAAUCCCCUGGGCCUGCACUGGACGCUCAUGCACGAAAGCGUGGGGAGCAAACAGG